rnacentral:rRNA from 1 species
UACGGAGGGAGCUAGCGUUGUUCGGAAUUACUGGGCGUAAAGCGCGCGUAGGCGGCUUUGUAAGUUAGAGGUGAAAGCCCGGAGCUCAACUCCGGAAUUGCCUUUAAGACUGCAUCGCUUGAAUCCGGGAGAGGUGAGUGGAAUUCCGAGUGUAGAGGUGAAAUUCGUAGAUAUUCGGAAGAGCACCAGUGGCGAAGGCGGCUCACUGGACCGGUAUUGACGCUGAGGUGCGAAAGCGUGGGGAGCAAACAGG